CACAACAUAAACAGUAGCUCUCUCACAUAGACGACGGACGAUUCAGAAUCUUCACAUCGUCGCCUCUGCUUUGGCGGCCCAUCGCCGGAGAUUCCGAAGCCACAUAAUAGGAAGGGCAAGGCAGCGGUGGUUGAUGACGCCGGAGAGACCAGCCACUCGUAGUUCGUUCCUUGGAAGUUUCUGUGCGAGUUUUUCUCUGUCUCUCCCUCCUCCUUCCUCUUAGAAGGCGAAGCCGCGGGGAAGAUCAUCUUCUCUCCUCCUCCAUUGAUACUGAUGUUGCGAAGCUUUGUAAUGGGAACAUCCUUCGGUAACACAAUCUACGAUUUUGGCUCCAUUGCAGGACGUUGACUCUACUGCUCCCCCUUGACGUUGCUACUUUAGGGACUGUAAGUCCUCAUGUAUUGUGCUUUCAUUGCUGUUGUGAAAUUAUAGAAGGAGACUAAGGAGUUAAGCCUGCUUUCUCAAAUUGUUGACCUCCUUGACCAGCCUGAAGGCGAAGCUUUGUAAUGGGAAGGUCGUUCAUAUUAAAAGGCUGCAGGAAACAUGGAUUAUAUGUCACAGUAGUCUUCCUGAUUUGCUUAGACAAAUUAGUAGAUCCUUCGAUAAUAUCUACGAUUUGGUUCCGUUGCAUCUAUGCCUUGCAUGACAGCAGUGGAGACACAGAACAGUGUUUCUGAUGGAACGGAGCCUUCUAAAGGGACUUACAACUGAUUAAAAUACUGCUCCCCCAUGACGGAACCUUCUCAAAGGUCUUCUCUCAGCUGAUUAAAAUACUGCUACCCAUGACGUUGCUGCUUUUGGUACUGUAAGUCCUUAACUAUGGUGGUUACAUUUCUGUUGUGAAAAUAGAGAAGGAUAAUGAGGAGUUAAGCACCUUCUCAAAGUUUUGACCUCCUUGAACAGCACGAAGGCUGGUGUUGCUAAAUCUCUGAACACUACCAGGUCAGAGACAUGGAUUCAAGAAUGAAGACUGAUUAAGCUGAUUUGAUGGUUGCUGCAGUAGCACUUGGGAUAAAAACAAAACAGAGGUUUGUCACAGCUGUCCGUCACUACAAACUGUCUCUCCAAAACUUGAAUGAUGAAAAAAAAAAAAAAGAGAAACAUACUUCUGGAGGCGAAGCUUUGUAAUGGGAAGUUGGGAACAUCCUUCGGUAAUACAAUCUACGAUUUUCCCUCUAUUGUAUCUGUGCCUUGCAAGACAGCAGAGCAGAGACAGAACUGUGUUUCUUCAGGCCUCUCGUUUAGGGUCUAGAAGUCUUCAUGCAUUGUGCUUACAUUUCAGUUGUGAAAAUAGAGAAGGAGAAUGAGGAGUUAAGCCCGCCUUCUUAAAUUGUUGACCUCCUUGACCAACCUGAAGGUGAUGCUAAUUCUCUUAAACAUUACCAGGUAGUCGGAGGAAUUCUUGGAAGAAAUGAUAUGAUUAUGAUCUUUAGUGCCUUCACGUACAAGGAUCUACAGAAGUUUGCCAUUCUCUGAGGAUUAUGCCAUAAGGUGGGUAUUGAGUUGAUUCCAAGGGACUUUGACAUGGAUUCUCCAGCACCGUUCCGUAAAUCAGUUGUCGUCAGUCUGGUCCCAGUGCAAGAGCAAGCAACAUGUUCAUCUGCUGGAAGGCAACUUCUGGAGUCAUCUAAAACAGCUUUACACAAAGGAAUGCUUUAAGGUCCUAUGGAACAAAGGCUACAAUAUAUCAGCAAAAGGCUUUAGAUACCAAUGAGAAGAAAGUUGGACUUGAUCAUUCAGAUACGAUGAAGAGUUAUGGUGACCUUGCUGUCUUCUACUAUAGGCUUCAGCAUACGGAGCUGACUCUUACGUACGCUAAGCGUGCGUUGUAUCUCUUACAUCUCACAUGCGGUCAUCCAAACACUGCUGCAACAUACAUCAAUGUAGCCAUGAUGGAGGAAGGUCUCGGAAAUGUACAUGUUGCCUCGAGGUAUCUUCACAAUGCUUUCAAUUGUAAUCAAAGGUGCUUGGUCAUGAUCACAUCCAGGCGAAGCUUUGUAAUGGGAAGGUCGUUUACAUUGAAGGCUGCAGGAAAAAAGGAUUAUAAUGUCACAGUCUUGCUGAUUUGCUUAGACAAAUUAGUAGAUCCUUCGAUAAUAUCUACGAUUUGGUUCCAUGGUCCAACCAAUUUGCCUUAAUUGCAUCUAUGCCUUGCAAGACAGCAGUGGAGAGACACAACAGUGUUUCUGAUGGAACAGUGCCUUCUCAAGGGACUUACAACUGAUGAAAAUACUGCUCCCCCAUGACGUUGCUACUUUAGGGACUAUAAGUCAAAAAGUAUUCUGAUUACAUUGCUGCUGUGAAAAUAGAGAAGGAGACUGAGGCAUUAAUCCCACCAGUUUGAAAUUACUUCUCCAUAAAUCCUCUUCUAAGAAGAACAAGAAAAGUCCUCAGCAAACAGGAUAAUGAGCUUAAAUCUUCAUGGGAAUAUGUACGUUAAAUGGUGGAAGAAAGUAUAGUGAGUAUAAUUCUACAACAACUCCAUCCUUGCAAUCUGAUGCCGAGAAGAACGCUCAAGAAAACGUACUCAACUUGAAGAAUUUGUUGUCUGUUGCAGCCUUCACUAGUAGUCAGAUACUGCACUCCAUCACAAGUCUUUGCAAGAACUUGUACACUUGGGACAAAAUUAUAAUACUGAAGUUGCUAUUCCGAAACUGGUUGCAGAUUCUGGUUUGUUGGAGCUCUUCCCAGUCGAUGGCCAGACUCUAACUGCUUUUAUGCACACAAGAGGUCUUCGGAUGCGUUCCUUAGGAUACGUUGUGGAGCUUUCAGAUAAGUUGUCACAUGUACAAUCACUGUGUGUUCAUGAGAUGAUACUGCUGCAUUGAACAUGAUGCUUGGGAUUCCUGAAAUACUCACCACCACAUAACACUUGGAAUGUACAUCCUCUGAUCUUCCGGUGGUUGGAGAAAUUCUUGAACAAACGAUAUGAUUAUGAUCUUAAUGCCUUCAGUUACAACGAUCUACGAAAGUUUGCCAUUCUCUGUGGAUUAUGCCACAAGGGACUCCUUGACAUGGAUUCUCCAGCACCGUUACGGAAAACAGAUGUGGUCUUUCUGGUCCCAGUGCACAAGGCAAAGCUUUGCAAUGGUAAGGUCGUUACGUAUUGAAGGAUGCUGGAAAAGGAUUUUAUAGUAUCGGGACACAAAGCAUUAUAUGGUCACAGUCUUGUUGAUUUGUUUAAGACAUAUUAGUAGAGCCUUCGAUAAUCUACGAUUUGGAUCCAUGGUCCAGCGAAUUUGACAAGACAGCAGAGGAGAGACAGAACAGUGUUUCUUUAAGCCACUGGUUUGGAUAAAAAGUAGCUGAUGAAACGGAACCUUCUCAAGGGACUUACAGCUGAUGAACAUAUUGCUACCCCAUGUCAAUGUUUUCUACAAUUCUCCACUCCUUCCAUGACGUUGCUACUUUUGGGACUAUAAGUCUUUAAGUAUUCUUGUUACAUUGCUGUUGUGAAAAUAGAGAAGGAGACUGAGUAGUUAAGCCUGCCUUCUCAUAUUGUUGACCUCUUUGAAAGCCUGAAGAUGGUGCUAAUUCUCCAAACAUUAGCAGAUCCAAACCUUGCUUCUCCUUUUUUUUUUUUCAAUUUUAGAUCGGAAGAUGACUGAGAUUUUACUUUCACUUAGGCUUCUUGUUUUAAUUCACAAGGCAAAUCCUCUUGUUGCUCUCUUCGGUUCCUAGAACCUGAUCAAUGAGAUCUUACAAGGUAGAGACCAUGUGCAAAUUUCGUUUGAGGUCAACUGCUUUUAAUCAAGCCUCGGGAAAAUAACAAGUUAAUCAGUAUCGGAUGCAGAGCUCAAACAACAAAACCUCAGAUGCCAGGCUCUAUAUCAUUCGUUAUGAGUUGGUAUUGUAGUUAAGUGAUAUAUAUAAGGGUAUUCUAAUUCUUUUUCUUCUUGUUCAAUCAACCGUACUCUCAGGGAUGCGUAGGUCUGAGCAGACAGAAUCCAAGGAGAAACGUUCCCUACCCAAACACCACAGCAGUUUUCUCAAGGAGAUAAGUCGACUGACCGUAAGAAGCAGCAAAAUGCUAGAAAGAUAGUUAAUCCGCUGAGGAAUCCAUUUGCACUCAAGUCAAUGUCAAUGGCAGUCAUCAGAGAACAUAAAGAAAGAAAUCCAUGUUAGCUUUGUAUCGUGCUUGAUUUUCAGGCUCGGACUGAGAAGAAAAGACUAAAAGCUCUAGGCUCUGAUACUAACCUUUGAAAUUACAUAUGUAGAUGAAUUUUUGCCGAUUCAAAUAGUGUGUGAUUUGCAACUCUUGUUGGGACAUAUGCCCGGGGAUAUUCCAUUUUCAUUGAGCCUUAUGACAAGAGAAAGCUUCAUAUC